AGACGUUGAAGAGACUGUCUGGAGUUGGAGUGUACAACAAGUCGAGGCUGGUUUGCCUUCGGGGCGAUAGACGAUAAAGAAUCGCGUAUGGUGGAGCGAUUAGGAAUGACUGUUGUUCCAACAAGUGGGAUGUUUCCUCGCGAAAAUUGGGGUUGAUGGUUGAAGCGUUGGGAAGUGCAUUGGGGAUACGAAUUGUAUUGGGCCGAAAAUUGGGGCAAGUUGAACAAUGUUAACUACGAUCGAGGGGCUAGCCGACGACAGGAAGACGAAGCGGAUGGUAUGAGCUCAGUCUGACUUUACGUUAGUUUGAAGAUACUUAGAUUAGAUAGGGUUA